ACUCAAACAGAACAAAGCAAACUUUGCACGAGAAUGAGUGCAAAAGCACCGAGCGCUUGCUAGACAUGUUGAAUCACUUUAUCAAACUGACUGCAGACUAGAUGGUCAAUCAGAGAAGUCAAUCAGCAGCUGGAUGAGCCAACUGACACACCUAAUCAAGAAAACCGCUGCAUGGUUCUAUGGCUUGGGGAGUGCCCCUGCCUCUGGUGACAUGGAGGUUGUUGAGUGCUGCCAGUCCAUGUGUAGUCUGUGUGUUGUGCAACAGUGCCCUCCAAUGGAGCCGUGGUGGCGCUAUUUCAAAAGUUGAGGUUACAGGUUAGAGUCUGUCUGCUGGUGUAGAGGAGGGGUUUCCUGAGAGGCCUGAAGGAAACCAGACUGUGCACGAUUACCCAAGAGAAAAUAUCCAUCGACUGCUUAGAGUUUUAUGACACUUCAAUCAAUUUUUCCAUCUCUGGGGCGCAGUGAAAAUGGCAUUCAUACGGGGCCCUUUGUACCUGUCACAUGCUAUAUAUCUGGCAAUUCAUCUUUCUGUUUGAUAAUUCAAACGUGCUGUACUGUGUCUCUUAUGUGAUUACAAUAAACAGGCUUUUGAGGAGCCCUGUGAUGCUG